GAUGAACACUGGCGGCGUGCUUAACACAUGCAAGUCGAGCGAGUGAGUUCUUCGGAACGAUCUAGCGGCGGACGGGUGAGUAACACGUGGGCAACCUGCCUCACAGAGGGGAAUAGCCUCCCGAAAGGGAGAUUAAUACCGCAUAAAAUUAUCGAGUGGCAUCACAUGAUAAUCAAAGGAGUAAUCCGCUAUGAGAUGGGCCCGCGGCGCAUUAGCUAGUUGGUAAGGUAACGGCUCACCAAGGCGAAGAUGCGUAGCCGACCUGAGAGGGUGAUCGGCCACAUUGGGACUGAGACACGGCCCAGACUCCUACGGGAGGCAGCAGUGGGGAAUAUUGCACUAUGGGGGAAACCCUGAUGCAGCAACGCCGCGUGAGUGAUGAAGGUCUUCGGAUUGUAAAGCUCUGUCUUUGGGGACGAUAAUGACGGUACCCAAGGAGGAAGCCACGGCUAACUACGUGCCAGCCGCCGCCGUAA
rnacentral:rRNA from 1 species